rnacentral:rRNA from 1 species
AUUGAACGCUGGCGGCAGGCCUAACACAUGCAAGUCGAACGAGUGGCGGACGGGUGAGUAAUGUUUGGGAAACUGCCUGAUGGAGGGGGAUAACUACUGGAAACGGUAGCUAAUACCGCAUACCAUCAGAUGUGCCCAGUUGGGAUUAGCUUGUUGGUGGGGUACAGGCUAACCAACGCGACGAUCCCUAGCUGGUCUGAGAGGAUGACCAGCCAAACUGGAACUGAGACACGGUCCAGACUCCUACGGGAGGCAGCAGUGGGGAAUAUUGCACAAUGGGCGAAAGCCGGAUACAGCCAGGCCGAGUGUAUGAAGAAGGCCUUCGGAUUGUAAAGUACUUUAAGCGGGGAGGCGUUACCCACAGAAGAAGCACCGGCUAACUCCGUGCCAGCAGCCGCGGUAAUAC